UUUACGGGAGGCAGCAGUGGGGAAUCUUGGACAAUGGGNGCAAGCCUGAUCCAGCCAUGCCGCGUGAGUGAUGAAGGCCNUUAUGGUCGUAAAGCUCUUUCGCCAGAGAUGAUAAUGACAGUAUCUGGUAAAGAAACCCCGGCUAACUCCGUGCCAGCAGCCGCGGUAAUACGGAGGGGGUUAGCGUUGUUCGGAAUUACUGGGCGUAAAGCGCACGUAGGCGGAUCAGAAAGUAUAGGGUGAAAUCCCAGGGCUCAACCAUGGAACUGCCUUGUAAACUCCUGGUCUUGAGUUCGAGAGAGGUGAGUGGAAUUCCGAGUGUAGAGGUGAAAUUCGUAGAUAUUCGGAGGAACACCAGUGGCGAAGGCGGCUCACUGGCUCGAUACUGACGCUGAGGUGCGAAAGUGUGGGGAGCAAACAGGAUUAGAUACCCUGGUAGUCCACACCGUAAACGAUGAAUGCCAGACGUCAGCAAGCAUGCUUGUUGGUGUCACACCUAACGGAUUAAGCAUUCCGCCUGGGGAGUACGGUCGCAAGAUUAAAACUNAAANGAAUUGACGGA
rnacentral:rRNA from 1 species